CUUUGGACAAAUGCGCAAGCUUGCUUCACAGCGAGGGCAUCCAUACCAUUCACCUUCAAACCAGGAACAAAAUCCCCACGUUUGGAAUACGCUGGACUCUUCGCGGCUCUCCACUCGGCUGUCCCCGUACCAUAGUGAUUAUUCUCGCAGACCAAAAUUGCAGGCAGAUCCCAUAGUGCUCAUUGUCUUUGUCAGAGAGUGUAGGCAACUCAAUAUGAAUUUGAGAGGCAUGCAAAGUAGAUAACGCACCAAUUAACGUUGCAGUCUUCUUUAUCACACAA